GUGCUCUCCUUGGGUCUGAUUGGUUGUACCUGCAUAUGUUGAGUGUUGGGCUCACAUAGAACUGCAAGCACAGCAGCGUGCAAAGAGCAACACACCUUUCCUCUGCCAACCUGCCUGAGACCCUCACCAGCAUCUCCUCCAGGUGAGAAACAAUUCUGAAAUGUAUUACUUCUGCUGUGGCUAUCACCACCUCCUCUUCACUGAAUUGUGAGAACUCAUCUUGGCCUGCCGCUUCUCCAGUCCAG
rnacentral:lncRNA from 1 species